GCUUAAUUCGAGCAAGUCGAGUAAUAUUCAAGCUCGGUUUGAAAUUAAUUUCGAGCCCCUAAAUUUAGGCUCAAGCUUGCUUGAAACUAAUUCGAGCCGAGCUCGAGCGAGCCGAAUAUCGAGCCGAACACAAGUCGAACACCAGCUGCCUCUCUCAUUUGCCAGCCCUAUGACAUGGUGAUGUAGCUGGUCUUUUUUUUUUCCUUGAUUUUUGUUUUUUUUUUUGAGAGAUACCCAUCUCGUUUAUUUCAUUUAGAAAUAAACUAAGCUGUAAAUAUGAAUCAAUUAGAAUUCGAACUUGGGACUUCGGGUAUUAAUCACCAAAUUCUUUGUCACUUGCUUUAGGGACGAUCAGUAUGUAGCUGGUCAUUAAUGACGGGAUGCAUUAGGCAUUUCAAAUAUUCUCC
rnacentral:lncRNA from 1 species